UGUAGACUGCCUCAUUGUUGUUUAUGAUAAAGUGGGCAAACUUUGUGAUGCUGUUUGUGCUGGACCAACCCACACAGUCGUGUGUGAACAAGGAGAACUGCAAGAGGCUCAACAACACGUAUUGAGAGUCACAGAGGAGGAGGUGUUCUUGCUUGUCUGCACAUCUAGAGGUCUGACAGCGAAGCGGUCCUGAACCCACCUGCAUAGAGAGGGGCCUAAGUCCUGAAUCCAGAAGCUUGUGUUUGGGUGUCAGGGUCACGGGGAACCUGAAGCCUAUCCCAGGAAGCAUCGGGCACAAGGAAACGCAGCAGCAGGCUGAAGUAGAGCAGGAUGAAACAGCUGCAUCUUCAGGGUUUCAGGGUCACGGGGAACCUGGAGCCGAUCUCAGGGAGCAUGGGACACAAGAUGGGGUACACCCUGGACGAGCUGCCAAUCCAUCGCAGGGCACAAUCACACACACAUUAAUACAGUACGGACACUUUGGACACGCCAAUCAACCUACAAUGCAUGUCUUUUGGACUGGGGGAGGAAACCGGAGUACCCGGAGGAAAGAGCACGGGGAGAACAUGCAAACUCUGUGCACACAGGGCAGUGGUGGGAAUCGAACCCCGACCCUGGAGGUGUGAGGCGAACGUGCUAACCACCGAUCCUCUGUGUGCCCCAGUAAUAGGACAUACACUUUGUUUUUAUUAUUAUUAUAAAAUUUGCACAGUGCCAAACAUGAACUAGGAUACACAGUAUCCAGAUUUUAUAUACACAUUUUAUUUUGUUUUUUUUUUAUUUCAGACCCAUUUUUGCUAUUUUAAGCACAAAAGCAAAAUUUAAGAACUGCAUAUUUCUUGAAACCCUUUUUACCAUUUAAAUAUGAUAUUUGAAUACUAUUCAUGAAGUUAAAAUUCCUCUAGCACUAAAAUAGUUUUAGUCCUAAUGCACAGCAUUCUCUCUCUUCUCCAGUAGAGUUAAUGAUGCAGCUGUGGUUGAUCUUUAUCUCUUCACUGAAGAUAGAACAGGGCGAGUUGCAGACCCUGAUCAGGAGGCCGAGCAGACAGCUGAUAAAAGUCCCCGUUAAAUCAGGACAGAAUAAAGAGACGGGAGAAACAUGUCUGCGCUUCACAACAAUCCCAGCAGUUCUUUAUUAAAUACAG
ensembl:lncRNA